rnacentral:rRNA from 1 species
AGAUCACGUAAAAUUCAAUUGGUCGAACAGACCAAAUGUUUUAGCUCCUUCACCAAAUAUUUAUUUUAAUUCAACAUCGAGGUCGCAAUCCUAAUUAUUAAUAAGAACUCGUUAAUUAAAUUACGCUGUUAUCCCUAAAGUAACUUCACUUACAUUAUAUUGGUAUUAUAAAAAUUAUAUCUUCAUUGAUUACCCCAAUCAAAAAUUACAAAAAAUUUUAAGCUUCUAGGGUCUUCUCGUCCCCAAGAUUCAAAAAAGCAUUUUUACUUCUAAUUAAAUUUCAAAAUUAUAAAAUAAAACUAUCCUUUAAAAUCUCUACCUUUCAUUCUAGUUUUCAAUUAAAAAA